rnacentral:lncRNA from 1 species
GUCAAUCGAUCCGCUGCUUCGCUUCCCGCACCCUUGUGCACCACACCCACCAAAGCUCCUUCACCGGUGGCCGCGAGGACCGGCCCGACGACACCUCUGGCUAUGGCGAUGACGGCCCGUUCAACGGCAGUGGAAGGGGAAGGUGCGUGCAUCAGCUCGGGGCCUAAAUACACAAAAUGAUACAAAGAAAACAAAAUCCAAAUCAUACCUAAUAUGAAUAUUGAAGCCAAAAAGAUCUAGAAAAGGAAACAAAUUAUACUCAACAUAGCCAACAAUCCAGAGAAGGAAUAAAAAUAGGAGUAUACAAAGAUCAAAAUCUAAUAUUUUUGAAACAACAUAAUAUAAAACGGGUAUAUGAAUAUUUAGAUACAAAAAAUUAGAAUUAAUCAAACAAAAAAUUAAAUAGAACCAAAAAGAAGAAGAAGUUGAAAUCACAUUAUUGAAGAAAAAACAAUUAUCGGCCAUCUUUUCCACUCCCACUAACAAAAAUGGCAUUGAAGAAGCUUUUUUCUCUCCUUUUUUUGCACUCCUUCCUCUUAUCUCUCUCUCCAAACGUUUUCAAAAUAGGAUUUUUAAGAAACAGGGGGAGUGGAGACCAAAAGGAUCAAAACCCACAGCCCCAUUUAAUCCCCCUCAUGAGCUUCCCCCCAUCACUACUACUCCAUUUUUCUCACUUCUUUUUCCAUUCCAAAUCUAUUCAUUUAUUGAGUAGGAAGACGAAGCGUCACAGCAGGUAUGUUAGUGAUAGAAAUUCAAAGUGUAUAAUUGAAAGAAGCUAAAAAAUUAAUUAAUAAUUUAAUAAUUGUAGGGGGUUAAAUUACAUGGGGUAGAUGAGGGGGCAAAAAGAGUAUAAUUGAAGGAAGAAAAAAAAAAUUAGAAAAACCCUAAACUAAGGAGGAAGCGCCACAUCAUCUCAAAACAUUGCGGAUUAAUAUAGUUACAUAGAUAUUACAUAUGCAAAAUAGUUUUUUUUUUUUUUUCUGUAAAUGCUUAAGCUAUUGGCAAAUAAUAUUUUUAAUAUUUUACAUUCAACACUCCUUUACAUCCGAGUUCGAAAUAUUUUGAUAGUCUAUAAGUUUGACGAGACUUGGCAUAAGUUCAAUGGGACUCAAAUGGUGAAUGCCUUUUAUUCUAGUACUAUAUUAAAC